CGCUUUGAUAAAUUAUUUAUCACAUUAGAAUAUUAUAAUGGAGUACCAACAAUUUGACAAAGCAUCAAAAAUUGAACUGAAAAUUUUCAAGAGGUUGAGAAGUUCGAGUCCUUAUGUCUACUAUACAUUACAAAAUCUCUACAUCCGAUUUGCCGUCGCAUCAGUUUAUGCCUUCUUUGGGCAGUAUCUCAAUGUGGACGCCCACCAGUUACAAAGCUUGGACAAUCUCAUUCGCAAUGUCUCGAGUUUGAAAAACCUUUUCUCAUUCAUCAGUGACUCGGUGCCAAUUUGUGGACUAAGACGUCUUCCUUACGUUUUGAUUGGUCUUUUCAUGAUACUUGCAUGCAGCACAAUCAUGUUUUUUCGACCAAUACCUGAACCGUAUUUCGAAUCCUACAAUGAAGUGGACGAAGAUGGAAACUCGAAUUGCUCACGUGAUUUGAAUGUAAUUCGCAAUCCUGAAGCUCACAAUCGUGCUUUAGAUUAUGCCACACUUUUCAUGGUUGCCUUUAUUGGUCUAGCCUUUUCGGAUUGCUGCAUGGAUGCAUUUACAGCCCAAAGAACCUCCCUUGAAGAGGAAACAAAUCGAGGAUCCAUUUUAUUGAAAAUAUCGGUAGUGAAACGCUUUUCAGCAGCAGUUUUUGCUUCCAUCUUUGCGAUCUUGUACAAUCAAAUUGACUACGGAGGCCACUUUUGUCCUUUCGGAGUUAAAUUGAACCAACUUGCUCUUAUCGUUGCAAUUGGAUGUAUAAUAGCGAUUGUAUAUGUGACGAUGUUCACUAAUGAGCGCGACUAUGAAUCAAAUCAGAAUGUGAAGUUGCGGGAGAAUCUCUUGCUUUUUUGGAACUUUCUUCAAACUCCUCAUUUUUUGAUGUUAGUGGGGAAUCGUAUCAUUCUAGCGCAUCUUUUUGGGUUUAGAACUCCGGCAAAAAGCAAGGUUGAAAUUCGAUGGUUGAAAGUCGAACCACUCACGAAAGGAAUGCAGGAAGCUCUGUUGAACAUCCUCAAAGCAGUUGGUUCGUGGAUCUACAUGAAGUAUUUUAUCAACUUCAAUUGGCGAAAAACUGUCGUUAUUCUGAUUCUAAUUGAUCUCGGGUUAAAAGCUCUUUUCCAACCAUUGGCCGUGUUAGGAGUAAUAAGAAGUCAGUAUUUCUGGAAUGCAGAUGACGAAGUCACUGGAAUCUUUGCUCCUUGGUUUACUUUGAUCUAUACUUUCGUUGUGGUUGAGUAUACUCCCAGAAACCUAGAAGGAACAACUGUGGCUUUUCUUUGGAGCGUAGCGCCCUGUAUUGGCUCAGUUGAAAUCGCUCCCAACAAAUUAAACAAUCAGCUGUAGAAAACCUCGAACAUCAUAUUGACUUAAUCAUUCAUAUCAAAUCAAGAGAUCUUCUAUAAAGGCUAAAAGCACCGUACUCGGAAACAUGUUCUUCAGUUUUUUCGAUAUCAUGGACGACAGCCGGUACCUGCGCGACUCCAAAGAAGACCGUUUUUUGAUAUUUUCUACAUUCGCCAUUGAUUGGUUUUUUUCAAUCAUCACUGUUUUCUUCGUAUUCUUGUUGCCCACUCAGAAACCCAUGGCUCAAAAAUGGCGACAGGAAGGAGAAUCAGUUAGAUACAGAAAGUGUGCAAAGGUGCUGCUAACUUUUAUUUGCCUGAGUUUCGUGUACUCGCUGAUUGUUUCAGCUCUGACUUUUUUCGAACAGACGAGGUGUCUUAUGAUUGCUGGCGGCUCUGGAUGCUAGAAGAAUGAGCCAUGUCAGAAUGACUGCACUAUUUUUCAUAGAGUGUAUUAGAUAUCUCUAGAGCUUUUUAGAGAGUCUCUGAGGUAAUUCUUACAAUUAGGGUCAAUGAACAAAUA